rnacentral:lncRNA from 1 species
UUCUAAUGCUUUUAAGGUUCCUUUUCAGCCCUUCCUCCUCGUAAUCCACAAAUACUGAGACCAAGGCAUUUUUUGGGUCAGUCCUAAUUUCAAGCAUUCUAUCCUGCCCUCCCCAAAUGAACUCACACUUAUUAGACCAUAUGUUCCUAUAUUAGUUCAGGAAGGGGGAAAAAAUGUUCAUCACACUUGUAUAUAAGAGAUCAUAGAAAAACAGUUUACUAACCUGUGAAAAUACCAUUCAUUCUCUGUUUACCUCUGGUCCACAGCUAAGCAAUCAGUAGGAUAAAAAUGUACCCUAUGUUCACUAUUCAGUAUUCAUAAGUAUACUACUUAUGAAUUGGAAAUCUGACACAACAUUUACAUGACCUAAUUUUGAAAAUUUAAAAUAGUGUAAGGCCCCUAGGCUUAAUUUUACAGGGGAAAGAUUAAAGGGACACAAGCAAACAUAUAUUCUCUCUCUGUGCUGUGGGACACUGGUAAUUUUUUGACUUAAAAUAUUUGAUACUUAAGAUGCCAAACUUCUACAUUUCUGCAGUAACAAGGCAGUUAUCAUAUUGAAUACCAUUUCUUUCUCUCCAGUAAGUAGAGUUAAUAUUAGCACAUGAACUGAAAAUAUUAAGUGAUUAUAAAAAAGUCCAAAUAAAUUCAUUAAAAUUUAGCUUGGCAAAAUGUUAGUUUCAUGUUCUUGGUAGAAGUCCUUUUAUAUUUAUAUUCAAAUGAAAUGAACAAUUUACAAGCAAAGGAAAUGGCAUCAAAUAUUUGACACCCUGCCUCCCAAGGUGUAUUGAUUCAUGCUUUUUGCUCAGAUCUAGGUUUCUCCACUCAGGAAAAGAGGAGAAUGUACCCAUACUUGGGAAAACAAGUUUCCGAUGGCACAGCUUUGAUCAAACAGCAAAAUUCUAUCCAUCUAUGUAUUGCCAUCUGACAGUAUGACAAAUGGUCCCAUGUGCGAUAUUCACACUGCAUUGCAGUCAAACCUGUAAGUCAAAGGAUAUGAAAUAAUAGUAACUACACAUUAAGCACAGAAGAAAAUGAAACAAACAAAAAGGUUUUAAACCAACCAAACAUAUGUCUUAUUUUGGAUGUUCUAUAUGUUCUUACAUUCUCUCAGGUCUUUUGUGUCAUUAUGAACACAAUUCUAACAAGCUUGAUUAUUUUAUUUCCAUUCACAUAUUACAGGCAACAAGCUGAAAAAGUAGAAUGGGGUGUAGAGAGACAGGACAAAGUACAGAUUAGGGCUUGAAGUGCCCCUGACCAGUCGACAGCAACCACAUGGAAUAAUGACUCAUGUGCAUUAAUGAUCACACUAAAUGAUAUUUGUUUUUUACCUAGUCCUUCAACUGACAGCUUAAAGAACUUCAGGUUGUUCUGAUUCUUGAGUCUACUCUACAGCUUCAGAGAGGACUUUCAUUUUAUUUUGGAUCAAAUGCUCCACAACUAGUUGAAACUGGAAUUAAAUUUUAUAUGAAGUUCCUAGAUGAUUUAAAGCUGUAAGAAGAAGAAUAAUGAAUCAUAAGAAAACUUGCUGCUACAGAUAUCAAAAAGGAAUGUUACCAUCCCUCAUGCUAAUCCUUUUUAUUUUAAAUAAACAGGAUCU